rnacentral:lncRNA from 1 species
GAAAAGGGGAGGGCCAGUGGGAGGGGGAGGUAGGGAGGGAUAGCCUGGGGAGAAAUGCCAAAUGUGGGUGAAGGGGAGAAGAAAAGCAAAGCAUACUGACAUGUGUGUACCUACGCAACUGUCUUGCAUGCUCUGCACAUGUACCCCAAAACCUAAAAUCCAAUAAAAAAUUAAAGAAAAAUUUAAGGGAAAUCAAAGGCAGUUCUUCUACUGGAAACUAUGUCUGAUAGCAAAUAGUAUCCAGACUGUGUCACUGAAUGAAGAAAUAAUCCCUGUAUUAGAAUGAAGACCCCCUAGAAAUUAGAGGAUAAAUAUAUGUUUCCAUUUUGUGCAGAGCCUACUAUUUUUUCAAAUCUAUUUAGGAAUCUAUUAGUUUCACUCUCCUGACCCAUUUGUGAAGUAGGUAGGGCAGUUAGUGAUAUGCCCAGAAAGCCAAAGCUCAGAGAAGAUGCCUUAUUUAAAGUCACCAUAUGAGUUAGACAGACUGAGUUCUCUUGACUCUUAUUCCAGUAACCUUAACAUUUUGUUUAAACUUUAACUGUGUCGGCAAAUUUUGUUUGUCAGACCUUCAACCAUUAAUCAGAAUUGGCAGUACAUUUGCUUUUGAGCUGAACUUAGCCUUCCAAUAUAAUAUGAGAUAUGAAAGGUACUUGGGAGGCUGAGGCAGGAGAAUCACUUGAAUCCAGGAGGUGGAGGUUAUGGCGAGCUGACAUCGCACCAUUGCACUCCAGCCUGGGCAACAAGAGGUAAACUCCAUCAAAAACAAACAAAACAAAAACAAACAAAUGCAAAUCAAAACCACAAUGAGAUAUCAUCUCACCCCAGUCAGAAUGGCUACUAUAAAUAGUCAAUAAAUAAUGGAUGCUGGUGAGGUUGUGGAGAAAAGGAACACUUAUACAUGAUUGGUGAGUGUGUAAAUUAGUUCAACCAUUGUGGAAAGCAGUAUGGCAAUUCCUCAAAAAGCUAAAAGCAGAACUACCAUUCAACCCAGUGAUCCCAUGACUGGGUAUAUACCCAGAGGAAUAUAAAUCAUCCUCCCAUAAACAUUCAUUCAGUGCAAUGAAUAUAAAUCAUCCU